AAUUUCACACACGUUACUUUUCUCCUUCCAAAACCUAUUAAUCAAGUGACAUUUUCUCCUACUUAGCACAGCAAUCAACUAUAGUCUAAGUGUUGCUAAUCAGCCUGUUUUCAUGGCUCUAACAACUCCCCAAGUAUAAAAACAAAUCAGGAUUUCCUACUUGCAUAAUUAAGAGGAUAAAGCCCUUGUUCCCUGAAGUGCAGUAUAUUAAACGCUCUGCAGCAGCACUCAUUCCAGCUGUGCUGAGCUCCACAAUAAUUCUUAUGACCUGAGAAUCUGCAUGCUGCUUUCUCUGCCCUAAGACCAUUGUCUAAACAUAAUUUAAAUUUUGUGACUGCUAGUAGUUGCUUAGAAUGUAAGCUCAGUUGUGAUUCUUUAGACUGGGUAAGCUUCAUUAAAUACAGUUUUAGAUAAAAAAAGUUGUUAUUUAAAGAGAAAACAAUCUAAUGGGCAUGACUAAAAAUAUUAAAAGAAGAAAUUACGACCUUGCCAACUUAACGGCUUCAUAUUUUAUUCUUUAUCCUCAUUUUAGUAUCAUUUCAUAAUUCGUAUUUAUGGAUGUUUAAGAUUCUCUACUGGUAUGUAGAGUUUUUAUCCAAAAACCCCCCCCCAAAAAAUUACUGCUAAAGUAUACUGCAAGAAAUGGUUAAGAUUCAGUAAGUUCAUAAGUUGUACUUCUGCAUAAAGAAUGGACUAAUUACAAUUAAACUACUACUCUAGCAUACAGUUACUAUAUGAAAAGACCCAUCAAUUAAUUAACAUUUGUCCUCCAGGGGAAUGUACAGCACUGGAGAUACCAUCAAAUUUACUUAACAAAAGGGAGGUAAAAAUUGACGUUCAAUUUUCUAAACACAAUGGAAAGAAGGGGAUGAGACAAUUCUUUUACAGUUGUUUCCACUUCAGUUUUUUUUGCUGGCCAUGGCCUUGCAGGCUACAGAUUUAACCCUAGUUCCAACCUUCAAAAAGUUUGCGCUCACUAAUUAACCAAGUGGACCACAAGGAAAAAAGACUCCAGCCCGUGGCUCAGCAGGCCUGGAGCGCUGCACUGACGCUGCCAGGAGCUCUGCCAGACAACAGGAAGACCUAGGACAGAAUUCAACUCUCAUAAAUGGAAUUGAACAAAUAGGUGUACCAGAAGGACUGUUUUACCACAUAACAGCACAGAAGACAUAAUUUUAUUUAAAAUUAUCUUCUACAUUAAGUAGUAAAUACUGUAAAAAUUCAGGACCUCACGAAGUAACUGUCCUAAAUUUGGUGCCCAUCUUUACGUAACGACCAGUUUUUCUUUACCCUGACGGUAAGUCCUAAUCUCUCUCCCCACCUCCAGUGUUAACUGGCUUUUACUUACCCUUUCCCCAUUUCUCCCUUGCAAACCAAACCAAACCAAACCCCUAUCUCACCUGCCUGCUGCUUCUCACCUGCCAAGUUGUUCAUCUGAAGCACUUCUUUAUUCCAUGCCAAUUUUUCCUGGUUUUGCAGUGUAUGUACCCUGUGCUUCCUGACCUAAACAACCGGUCAGCUAUAAAAGAUUCCUAAAGAGAGGGGAUCCUGACUGAGCAAUCGGGGACGAUGCCUUCAGGCAACCAUAAACUUCUCUUCCCCCCAUGGUGCUGAAGACUUCCUAAAGCAAGAAAUCACUCAUCCCUUCAAGUAUAUAAUUUGUUACAGCUUUCAUGCAUCACAAAGGACAAGAGAAGUAUACAAGUGAUUGAAAGCAAGCGAACAAGAGACCAAUACUCAUUAGGCUUCCUUCAACUCAAUCAACAACUGAAUAGACUGUUUUACACUACAGGAAGAAUCAAGUGAAGUCAAAUAUUAGUUUUCCCUUUGCCAGACAGUGCACAGACAUUAAUUAUGACGACGGGUGCUGGGGACAGCAGUAGAACCGUAACGAAACACGGCCACUGUGCAGGCAGCUUAAUGGUCAUCCCCUGGCAUCGCCAGUGGCGUUGCUGCUGCCACUCAGAUGUGCAGUGCUUCCACGAGCCUCCCUGAACAUUUUAUUGCUUCAGAGGACAUGGGAUGACCUGUCUCUGCAUAUACAGAGAAAAGGCUAAUUCUACCACUCAAAUGUGCUAGGCGAGUUAAAACAUUUUGUAAUAAUAAAAACAAAAAUUAUACACGAGCAUAUAAACAUCACCAGUAAAUGUGUGUUAAAAUAUAUCCAAGCAGAGCGGCUUUAUUCCCAGUGAGCCAAUAUUUUUAUGAGGAAGAAAUGAAUAUGAAUGUUAUUAAAUUAACUAAAUCAAUGUUACUUGAUUAAUUCAAGUCACUUCAGCAUUUGCUAAGAACAUUAUGAAAAAGUCACAACCUCCAAGUGCUCUCACACUAUUGUGGGGCUGAAUUUCUGGGAAUGUAUUUGCCGUCUUUGUUUUAAAUUUCUGAUACUAAAUCUUUAUGUUAAAUUGAUCCUUGGGAACAAUCGAUCCUGACUAAAGCAGGUAAAAUGAAGUUACGUGCUUCUUCCUGUGUAAAAAAUAAGUGAGUUUCUGAAAACAAACCAAGUAAUCGAAGCCCAAACCAACAAGAUUAGUUCCAGUUUUACAAACUUAAAACCUCCGGUUCUACUUUGCCAAUUAGAACAGUGUGAUUUUUAGCAGCAGUCAUUUUGAUUAAGUUCUACUUGGAUUGUGUUUCUCUGGAUAGAUUUUUUUUUUGUUGUUAUGUUUAUGCAUAGCUAGUCAGGAAACGAUGACUUUUAAAUCAUGAAAUUUCCAACCAUUUAAAUAACAAAAAAUCUCAACCAGGUAAGAACCAAACAUGACCCAAGACACACCUGGGUUGACUGCUUGCCUGUAAUUAUUAAAAAAAUAUAAGAAAAGGGCAUUUUUAAAACAAAGCUUUUAUUUGUUUCAAAGGAAAUAAUUUUCUGUAGAUGCGUUUUCAAACAGAAGACCUUUCAGACUACAAACUCACCCAUCAGCAUUCUUCUCUCUCAACAAAGCAGCAGUUUCUAUUAGCUUUUUCCUUCUCUCCCAUUGUUUUCUUUGCUUUUCCCGAACCUUUGAACAACAAAACAAAUAAUUUGCACUUUAACUGGUAAUUCUAUAUGGAUCCUUAUUGCACGGACUGAAUUUUCAUUUUUGCAUCUUAGCUGGCUUAAUGUAAGACAAAAGACCACUUCCACAGUUCCACUCUAACACCUGAAGGAGAUGUAUGUCAGCAUGUCUAAUUCAGCCAGCAGAAUUUCAAGCAUAUAGACAUUGUAAAACUUGAAUAGCCACAAUAAAUAUUCUUACAUUUUC